UUAAAUUGAAGAGUUUGAUCAUGGCUCAGAUUGAACGCUGGCGGCAGGCCUAACACAUGCAAGUCGAACGGUAACAGGAAACAGCUUGCUGUUUCGCUGACGAGUGGCGGACGGGUGAGUAAUGUCUGGGAAACUGCCUGAUGGAGGGGGAUAACUACUGGAAACGGUAGCUAAUACCGCAUAACGUCGCAAGACCAAAGAGGGGGACCUUCGGGCCUCUUGCCAUCGGAUGUGCCCAGAUGGGAUUAGCUAGUAGGUGGGGUAACGGCUCACCUAGGCGACGAUCCCUAGCUGGUCUGAGAGGAUGACCAGCCACACUGGAACUGAGACACGGUCCAGACUCCUACGGGAGGCAGCAGUGGGGAAUAUUGCACA
rnacentral:rRNA from 1 species